rnacentral:rRNA from 1 species
UACGGAGGGGGCUAGCGUUGUUCGGAAUUACUGGGCGUAAAGCGCACGUAGGCGGCUUUGUAAGUUAGAGGUGAAAGCCCGGGGCUCAACUCCGGAAUUGCCUUUAAGACUGCAUCGCUAGAAUUGUGGAGAGGUAAGUGGAAUUCCGAGUGUAGAGGUGAAAUUCGUAGAUAUUCGGAAGAACACCAGUGGCGAAAGCGGCUCACUGGACCAUUACUGACGCUGAGGCACGAAAGCUAGGGGAGCAAACAGG